rnacentral:rRNA from 1 species
GAUGAACGCUGGCGGCGUGCCUAAUACAUGCAAGUCGAGCGAACAGAUGAGGAGCUUGCUCCUCUGACGUUAGCGGCGGACGGGUGAGUAACACGUGGAUAACCUACCUAUAAGACUGGGAUAACUUCGGGAAACCGGAGCUAAUACCGGAUAAUAUAUUGAACCGCAUGGUUCAAUAGUGAAAGACGGUUUUGCUGUCACUUAUAGAUGGAUCCGCGCCGCAUUAGCUAGUUGGUAAGGUAACGGCUUACCAAGGCAACGAUGCGUAGCCGACCUGAGAGGGUGAUCGGCCAAACUGGAACUUAGACACGGUCCAGACUCCUACGGGAGGCAGCAGUAGGGAAUCUUCCGCAAUGGGCGAAAGCCUGACGGAGCAACGCCGCGUGAGUGAUGAAGGUCUUCGGAUCGUAAAACUCUGUUAUUAGGGAAGAACAAAUGUGUAAGUAACUAUGCACGUCUUGACGGUACCUAAUCAGAAAGCCACGGCUAACUACGUG